GACGAACGCUGGCGGCGUGCUUGACACAUGCAAGUCGAACGGAAAGGCCUGCUUUCCCUUGUGGGUUGCGGGUACUCGAGUGGCGAACGGGUGAGUAACACGUGAGUGAUCUGCCCCCAACUUGGGUCUAAGCCUGGGAGACUGUGUCUAAUGCCCGAUAGGACUGCAGGGUGGUGCCUGUGGUGGAAGACGAUGUUCUAGUGGUUGGGGAUGAGCUCGCGGCCUAUCAGCUUGGUGGUGGGGUAAUGGCCUACCAAGGCGGCGACGGGUAGCCGGCCUGGGAGGGUGGACGGCCACAGUGGGGCUGAGAUACGGCGCAGACUCCGACGGGAGGCAGCAGUGGGGAAUACUGCACGAGGGGCGGAAGCCUGAUGCAGCGACGCCGCGGGGGGGAUGACGGCCUUGGGGUUGUAAACUUCUGUCGGCCGCGAGGAAGCCACCUGGUUGGAAGGGUGGUGACGGUAGUGGUAGAAGAAGCACCGGCUAACUACGUG
rnacentral:rRNA from 1 species